GUCUAAUACAAGACUAAUUUGUGUGUGUUGAAUAUUUAUACAAAAUAAUGUUCGUAUCGAACGUCAGUAUCAAAUUAUCUGCGAAACGAUGCGAACAUAUCUCAAGCUCUGCAUUUGGCUACUCUGCUUUAUAAUAUUCAUCACAUUUGGCGAUCACAGAAGCAAAAAAUGGAUUAAAAUAUUCGGCUCAACGCGACCACCGAACCCAGAUCGCUGAGUUGCUGUUGUCAUAAUGUAUUCCUGUAAAUAAACAAAAAUAAAAACAUCUGUUUUUAUAUAUAAUUUUUAUGAGAAAACAAGAAUUGAAAAAUUAGUUAAAAAUAAUAUAUGAACGUUAUGGAAUAAAUUAAAACAUUUGCACUGUGAAUUU